GCACCGCGGGGCCGGGGGCGGCCGGGCAGCGCCUGCCGGGCGCCGCUUUUCGGGGGAAGCGGCUCCGGGUGGCAACGGGCGAGCGCUCCGGGCUCCGGGGCUCCUCGCGCUGCCGCGGGGCUCGGCUGUCGGAGCUCCGCGGACAUGUGCUGGGCGCGAAACGCGUGUAAACAGGCGUGCGGGACUGUGGAGAGAUCCGUGCGAUUUGAUUUAUCUGUAAUAGCACGUAUAAAGCUUUUCAAGGUGGCUGCAGUGUAAAAAGUAAUGACUUUAUUACCUCUGAAAGGUUCUGCGGUUCACAUUUAACAGUCCUCUGAAUUACAAUUCAUUACACAGUUGCGCGCUCUCUAAAGCCAACGUAGAUCAGAAUACCUAUCUGUGGUUAUUUCCAAUAAAUAACAGGCGACGUCUCAUUGAUUUUCUUUAAAAAAUCGUAGCAAAUUAAGCACUUAGUUACAACUAAAUCUGCUUUAUUAUUGUACUGCGUGCGAGAUUCCAGAGGUGACUUCCUCCGGCACGUCUUCAAACAUACAUUCAAAAGCUAAUUUUACAGAUGCUUUCAUGAAUGGCAGCGAGGAUGUUCCUACCAUUAGCGUGCCCUUAACUCCCGCAUCGUAAAAUGCCUCGAAUUAAAUGGGAACUCACCGCCUUAAAACAGUAUUUCAUCCGGGCUGGAUAAUUAUUAAUAUUGGCGUUUGAUCACAAUAGUGCUGCGCUCCCCCCCCGCCCCCCCCCCCCCGACACUUUGCAUUGUCAUGUGAUUGGAGGGCGAUAACAAACCUCAAGAAAGAAAAGGAGUCAGAAGACAUUUUUAACGUGGCAUAACCACAGAUUAAUAAUGCAGGAGAGUGAGAAGGAAAACAUAAACCGCGGAAGAGUUACUACAGAUAUUAACUUUUAAGCCAGAAAAGCAAGACAGCUGAAAGAGUGAGCAGGGAAUUGGCUCCAUCCGCACCCGUCUCGGUUUCCGACAGCUGAAGCCUCUGGACAGCAGAUCGCAUCAGGACAAUGUUGGGCUCGCCACGCACCAGAGGAUGACUUGGGCGAGGUGUUGCCACUCUGCCUCUGAGGUCCCUUCUUUCUGUGCAUUUAGGUCUCACAGGGAAGGAGCCUUAGCGUGGACGGAUGGGCACAGGCUGCAGACAGAUCCACCUCCGCGUGGGACAGAGUGGGUGGCAAUGGCCUUGUCCACAGAGAAGGAAUCUGAACUGCAGACUAGUAACAGCAAUGGUGAUUACUAUUAAAGCUCUGAGCUUUUCAUUACUGAAAACUUCAAAUAACUCUCCUGAACUAUAUUUGAGCCAUUUUUUUCAUGUUAACUCCAGUUUUGAUUGCUGGAAAAGGUUGACUGCUAGAAAAGGAAAACCAGUGCACCGCACAGCAGUUGGGAAUCGAAGCCCUUCUGUACCAGAACCCCUGCCACAUACGUACUGUCACUCACCUUCCAGACACUCAGUACAACCAUUCAAUCUAUUGAAUCAAGAGACUGUUUGAUCUUAUCUGCAUCUGUGAGCUGACUGUCAACCUGCUUAGGCUGCAUAUUAAAUCAUCUAUAGUAGCUGUAUCAAGCUGGGAUGAUCUGUUAAUUCUAAAUUUAUUAACCCUUGGAGUGCAGUUAUCGUGUUUAAUCUAGUGUAGCCAGCAUUUAUUUUACAAGACUAAAUCCUUCUUUAAGAUAUGGCUGUGCAGUAGGUUAAAGAAUCAUUAAUGUGUAGGAGAUGGUAAUUGGGAAGAGCUCACUUUGAUCUUUGGAAGCCAGCUGACAGCAUCGCUGCUCCAAACACAUAUGUGUGUGUGCUGGCGUCACGCUCGCGUGUCCGGCGUGCGGGGUGUGUGCACAUGUAUGCGCCUGACCACAUUUCCUCGCAGAAAGAGUUUUGCCUGAGCCCAGAAAGAAGAGAGGCCUCAAACAAUGCCUUAGCUCCACACCACCACGAAGACUUCGAAUCAAAAUCUACGUCACAGCGCAGCACCACAGCGCAGGCGGGGAGACUGCAGGCAGGGUCCUGCCACGAGCGAAGAGCAAACCUCUCCUCCGAGUCUGCUCCUGGUCUCGGGCCGUACCUGCCCCCCAAACCAACUGCCACGCAUCCGCGGAGCGCUGCGGGCUACGGCCACCACAGGACUCGCAACAAGUCGAGUGCUGCUAUCCGCCUGCAUACAAAUAAAUGUACCCCCUCCCAGACACAGAUACACACACAAGUAAUUUUAUAUAGAUAUAUACAUGCAGAUAAAUAUGUUAAUCUGUUCGUUAUACACACCCAGCCCUCCCUGCCUCUCUCCCCUGUUAUCUAUUCUACUUGCACGUUGCCGAUGGUAUCAACAUAUUCACAGCUUUUAUUUCAGUCACAAACUGCUAGGCAUGCUUCCUUUUUUGGUAAUCACGUGCCUGGUAUCUCUCUAAUGUAGCCUAAUAACAAUUUUAGCAUUCAGAUGAAGCGAUUUCAUUCUGUGACUGCCUUUUCUAUUAGAUUUGAUUCUGAGAAGCCCCAGUGGGUGCCUCCGAGGCAGAGAUCUAUCUGUGAGGCUGCAACCGAUUCAAUAGCAGCCUGAGCUAACCUUGACCUUUCCCUAGACCCUGCUCCAUCUGGUGCCAGGCUGGUCCCCCCCUUCUCCUCCUCCUUGCUUCACAGUCAGCAUUGAUCAAGGCGGAAUCGAGCGUCUCUCUCCCUCCAAGGGCUGGGCAGUCGCAGGAAGGACAGCACAUUUCAAUAUAUGGAAAUGAUCAAGCCUCUUAUGCAAUCAUAAAUCUACAUAGAGGCUGGUGAUUUGAUAUUUCAUCCACCUCCACAGAUUCUCCCCCUCCCUCCCCCCAGCAGGGAUUUAUAAACUAUAA